CCGCCCCCUAACCCCGGCCGGGUCGUUUCGGUCCCCAUUCCCCAUUCUUUCUCAGAAGACUCUUCAGUGGGUUCAGCACACGUCUCUCCUGUCCGCAACAGAGAAACAAGAUACCUGAGUGCCUCCCACGACCAUGUGACUUCUUACAGGGCAAGGACAGCCAUACCCAGCAAAGCUUCUAGUCCUCCUGCCACCACCUCAUCACUUUCUUGCCUAUCACAAGCCAUGUUCCCCUGUGCACUGAGGGUUCCAGCCUCAGCCAUGGACCCUUUCAUCUUUUUAAGGUGCCCAGCACCCACUCCACACACAUCUUCCCUUAGCGUUUCUUAACAACAGGACCAUUGACCAUUUUGCGCAUUACAAGACGUGUGCAGCACCCCUGCCUCUGCCCAUUGGCUGUGAUGAUGAACAUGUCUCUGGACGUUGCCGAAAUUCCCGAGGGGGUCAAAUGCACACCCUCCUCCCAGAACCACUGCUCUAGGCCAAGGAGGACUCAGAAGAAGGAAAACAAAGUGAAGCAAGGAACCUCCAUAUGCUGCUGGCACGGCCCUAAAAAGACCAAAAAAAAGUCUCCUGCUGGCCUUGAAGAAGCAAACAUCAUGUUAUAAACUGCCUGUGAAAAGGGGCAGCUUCUUGGAGCUACAAGCCUCAGUCUGGCAAC